GGAGGGAUGAGGAGGGAGCAGCAGCGCUGGGCACUGUCAGGCACCCCGCGGCUGCACUCCCCUCGCCAGGCAAGCAGGCUCUUCCCCGCAGCCAGCUCUGGGGGGUUCUGUGGAGACCCCGGCUCCGUGCCAGGAUCUGGCCAUCCUGAAUGCCACAGCCCUCACCCUGCGCGCAGGAUUCUGCCUGGAAGUGCUCCUGCGGCUGCCUCGCUCCUGCCUGUGUCCCCCUCCCCGCACCCCAAACAGCUGGGUGGGCACCUGCAGGAGGUGCUGCCAGCCCAUGGAAGGAAGGAUGCUCCUCCUUCCUGGUUUGGGCUGUGAGUCCCUGCCGUGGUCCCGGCAGCAGCUGUGCCCUCGCACCGUGGCAAGGGGCUCUCCCGGAGGACCGUCUUUGCAGCCCUAAUGUGCCAUCCUUAAGCGGCCGUCAAGAAGGGCACGGCCAGUUGGUGGGAUUUGGCCUGGAACUCCCUGUGCGUGUGUGUGUCUGUCCUCACUGCUCAGUGAGUAACCCCAGACCAUGGCCCAAGCCCCACUCCCUGUUCCAGCCCAGCGAGGUACCUGCUUUCCUGGCCAAACCAGGCUCCAGCACCCAUGCUGGGGAAUGUGGGUGUGAUGCUACAAGCACGGGUCACCUUUCCCCUGCAGCUCCUGCCUGCUCACAGCUCAGUCCUGCUCUGCUCCCCAAGCCUGCUGGCACUCUCAAGAAGUGGAGGAGGCAAAGGAAAAUUCAUGGUUGCGCAGUGGCUGAGUAGCACCUCUCCAUGGACACCCAUCUGGUGCACUCAUCAUCCCCUCACCAUAGGGACGGAGCUAGCAUGCAGCAACAGGACUGGGGAACAAAAUGGGAUGGGGGAGGGGGUGAUUUGCAGGGGCAAGAGGCAUUUUCCCUAAGUGUGUGUGUGUGUUUGUGUGUGUGUCAGAGCCUUCCCAGCCUUGGAGAGGUGCUCGCUGCAGAGGAGUUGCUUAUUUUGGCCUCACCUGAGAGGCCUCAGCAGGGGGUAGAGCAGCUCCAAACACUGCCCUGUUUGUGCUUCAGGGAGGGGUGUUCGUGGCCAUCCCGUCACAGUGGGAGCCGGCAAAAGAGCUGGUGGUUGUUUUAUUCCCACAGGCCUCACAUAUUUCCCUUCGCUAGGACAGGAGCCAGCCAGUGCCUGCUGCAUGGGACUCUCCAAGCAGGACCUCACCUCCUCCAGGUCAGAUUUCUUGUCCCAGGCACUUCAUUUCCAG